UUUAAUGAGAAAAUCUCUGACCAAAAAGCAAGUUAAAAGCCCAGAGGAGUAACCCCAAAAGCGUGUAUCUAAUCUCAAGUGUACAACAAAAUCUCAAUAAUUUUUUUCAAAUUUAAACAAUUUAAAAGCCCACAAUUUG